GACCCGUAGAGUGGACCUCUUCCUCAGCGGUUAAAGCGCGGAGAUAAGGAUCUAGGAUGGCUUUAAUCUCAGCCCCCCAAGUGUAUUCCGAAUCCUGAUCUUAGUCGCACCGCCGCCGUAACCGAUGCCGGUACCGGAUAUGGUAAGCUCCCAGGGCUUCAGUUGUUUAAAGCGGGACUACUCCAUCAUGCAUGGAACUGAAAGCUGAGUAUGUAGGGCAGAGGAUCCGGUUAGCGGUGAAUGCGUAGAUAUCGGAAGAACACAGGGCGAAGGCGCUCGCUGGUCAUACUGACGUCAUGACGAAAGCAGGGAGCGAAAGGGAUAGAUACCCUGUAGUCCUGGCCGUAAACGAUGAACACUAGGUGUCGGGGGAAUCGACCCCUUCGGUGUCGUAGCUAACGCGUUAAGUGUUCCGCCUGGGGAGUACGCACGCAAGUGUGAAACUCAAAGGAAUUGACGGGGGCCCGCACAAGCGGUGGAGUAUGUGGUUUAAUUCGAUGCAACGCGAAGAACCUUAUCAGGGUUUGACAUCCUGCGAACCUCUUAGAAAUUUGAGGGUGCCUUCGGGAAUGCAGUGACAGGUGGUGCAUGGCUGUCGUCAGCUCGUGUCGUGAGAUGUUGGGUUAAGUCCCGCAACGAGCGCAACCCACGUUUUUAGUUGCCAGCAUUUAGUUGGGCACUCUAGAAAGACCGCCGGUGAUAAACCGGAGGAAGGUGUGGAUGACGUCAAGUCAUCAUGCCCCUUACACCCUGGGCUACACACGUACUACAAUGCUACGGACAAAGGGCAGCAAACUCGCGAGAGCUAGCAAAUCCCAUAAACCGUGGCUCAGUUCAGAUCGUAGGCUGCAACUCGCCUACGUGAAGUAGGAAUCGCUAGUAAUCGCAGGUCAGCAUACUGCGGUGAAUACGUUCCCGGGCCUUGUACACACCGCCCGUCACACCAUGGAAGUUGGCCAUGCCCGAAGUCGUUACUCCAACCCUUGUGGAGGAGGACGCCGAAGGUGGGGCUAAUGACUGGGGUGAAGUCGUAACAAGGUAA
rnacentral:rRNA from 1 species